AUACGGAGGGUGCAAGCGUUAAUCGGAAUUACUGGGCGUAAAGCGUGCGUAGGCGGUUUAUUAAGUCAGAUGUGAAAGCCCCGGGCUUAACCUGGGAACUGCAUUUGAUACUGGUAGACUAGAGUAUGGUAGAGGGGGGUAGAAUUCCUAGUGUAGCGGUGAAAUGCGUAGAUAUUAGGAGGAAUACCAGUGGCGAAGGCGGCCCCCUGGACCAAUACUGACGCUGAGGUACGAAAGCGUGGGGAGCAAACAGGAUUAGAAACCCCAGUAGUCC
rnacentral:rRNA from 1 species